UUCUUAAAACGUUAUAAAUUUAUUUCCGUAAAUAACACUAAACACUACACUAAACACAAUAAUACCACGUUCAGAAACACGAAGAACACUAAAUCACAGAGUACAGUCGAAAUGUGAGUAUGCGGGUAGCAGUGUGGCGGGCUUGGCACAGCGGCGGCCCGAUGAAUAUGUCAGCGGCGAGUAGUAGUGGCGGCAGCUUGGCACAGCGGCGGCCCGAUGAAUAUGCGACGAUGAAUAGUAGUGGCGGCAGCUUUGGCACAGCGGCGGCCCGAUGAAUACGUCAGCGGCGAGUAGUAGUGGCGGCUGCUUGGCACAGCGGCGGCCCGAUGAAUACGUCAGCGGCGAAUAUAGUGGCGGCAGCUUUGGCACAGCGGCGGCCCGAUGAAUACGUCAGCGGCGAGUAGUAGUGGCGGCUGCUUGGCACAGCGGCGGCCCGAUGAAUACGCGA